rnacentral:rRNA from 1 species
UGGGGAAUCUUGCGCAAUGGGGGAAACCCUGACGCAGCGACGCCGCGUGGGCGACGAAGGCCUUCGGGUCGUAAAGCUCUGUGGGGCGGGACGAAUUGCCUGGGUUCAAAUAGGGCUCAGGUUUGACGGUACCGCUUCAGCAAGCACCGGCUAACUCUGUGCCAGCAGCCGCGGUAAGACAGAGGGUGCAAACGUUGCUCGGAAUCAUUGGGCGUAAAGCGCGUGUAGGUGGCUCUCCACGUCGGGUGUGAAAGCCCGGGGCUCAACCCCGGCAGUGCACCCGAAACGAGGGAGCUAGAGUGCUGGAGAGGCGGGUGGAAUUCCCGGUGUAGAGGUGAAAUUCGUAGAUAUCGGGAGGAACACCGGUGGCGAAGGCGACCCGCUGGCCAGCAACUGACACUGAGACGCGAAAGCGUGGGGAGCAAACAGG